UAUCUGGGAUGCACGAUAACUCCUACAGUUUUUGAACCUACACUUUUUUAUAGGGAACUUAAUAUCGUGUGGUGGAUGACAUGCCUCCUUGAGUGGACUUCAGAAGUCACAUUGCAAGUACCCACCUGGCUUCGGCUAGGAGUCAAAAAGUAGGAGCCGGCAUCUUGGAUGU
rnacentral:other from 1 species